GGGUGGCGGCAUCUGAUCGAUGGUGAUAGAGCAAGGAAGGCCAAUGGCGUAGUUCGGCCGGCGAGAAAUCAAGAAACAAUCGAAAAAAUAGGGUACUACCCCUUUCUCUCUAGUUUUUCGAUCAUUGGCCGGUCGUCGGUGGCCAAAACCUCUCGAAGAAGGGGGAUAGAGAGAUGAGGUCCUAUCCUAGGAGUGAGAUGCCACAAACGACGGCGUCGG
rnacentral:lncRNA from 1 species